rnacentral:lncRNA from 1 species
AUGACAGGCAGCCACCAGCAGGUGUCAGCAAGUCCUUCCUCUGCACCUGCAGAAGCAGCACAGAAAAAACAAAAGUGGAAGAGGAAGUGUGAGUGUGCAGCGGGCAGAAUUAUGAGGGAAGCAGACACGUGCCCGUGUUCUUCAUGGCUAUGCUCACUUUCCUGUUGUCCCAUCAGGAAAACCAGGAAGCUCAGGAAGGAUACCCUGAACUAUUGGGACAUUUUUAAUAUAUUUUAGAGACCUCUGAAGGUAAGUGAAGAGAUGGCCUGAGAACAUCCUCCAGGAGACAGACACCCACUCCAUAGCAGACCCUGAGCCUGCUGGGCUGAGCCCUCCACAGGCUGCUUAGUGAGGGAGAAACUGAGGUGCUGGUCGGGCCACCGUGUGCAGGAUACCAGGGGCUGUGCACUGUGUUAUUUGUCUGCAGUGACACUUCAGCUCACCAGCAUCUCAUUUGGGGGGACAGAGCUGGGUCAGAGCCCCUUGAGGCCAACAGGGAGCAUCACUAGUUCAUCCGGAGGAGACACUAGGGUUGACAGUGACAGACUGGAUUAAGAAAGACUGGAUUAAGAAAAUGUGGCACAUAUACACCAUGGAAUACUAUGCAGCCAUAAAAAAGGAUGAGUUCGUGUCCUUUGUAGGGACAUGGAUGCAGCUGGAAACCAUCAUUCUCAGCAAACUAUGGCAAGAACAGAAAACCAAAUACUGCAUGUUCUCCCUCAUAGGUGGGAAUUGAACAAUGAGAUCACUUGGACACAGGAAGGGGAACAUCACACAACGGGUCCUAUUGUGGGGUGGGGGGAGGGGAAGGGAUGGCAUUAGGAGAUAUACCUAAUGUAAAUGACGAGUUAAUGGUGCAGCACACCAACAUGGCUCAUGUAUACAUAUGUAACAAACCUGCACGUUGUGCACAUGUACCCUAGAACUUAAAGUAUAAUAAAGAAUAAAACAUAAACUUUUAUUUUUCUUAUUUUUAAUUGGUCUAACAAAUAAAAAUGUGUCCAAAAUAAUACUGGCAAUAAUGUGUACAAUUAGGUAGAGUUAUAUGUUUAUGUGUGUACAUAUAUGAGGGUGGGUGGGCAAAUAUAUAUAUGUAUAUUUAUAUAUAUAUGCUUAUGUACACUUGUAUGUCAGUAAACUGAAUGACAGCAAUGAUACAAGGAAUGGUAGAGAGGAAUUAGAAAUCUUUUGUUACUAUGAGGUACUCAAACUACUGUGGAAGCAGGAUAAUGUUAUCUGGAAGUGAGCACAGAUUAAUUGUAAAUGUAUAUUGCAAACACUAGAGCAGCCACUAAAAAAGUGGGAACAGAGAAUUAUAUCUCAUAUGCUAUAAAAGAGAAAAUGGAAUCAUAUGAAAUGCUGACCCAAAUCAUGUAAAGCUAAAACCCCUCAAAAACGCAUUUAGUUCAUCUUCUUAUAUCCAUGAAACAUAUAUAUUAUUUAUAUAACCUUAAAUAUUUAAAUUAGAUUUGCCAAACCAAAUUCUGAUUACUUGCCCAUAACGUUAGAAAUGAAAAGAUAACAAGAAGUGACAUUAAGAAAGAUGAUGGCAAAGUAG